rnacentral:tRNA from 1 species
GUCCAGGGAUGGGAUUCGAACCCAAAGUGUUCAGCUUACCGGGCAGAUGCCAUGUCCACUAGGCUACCCUGGA